GACAGAGGGUGCAAACGUUGUUCGGAAUUACUGGGCGUAAAGCGUGCGUAGACGGUUAUGUAAGUCGGGUGUGAAAGCCCCGGGCUCAACCUGGGAAUUGCAUUCGAGACUGAAUAGCUAGGGUACGGUAGAGGGAAGCGGAAUUUCCGGUGUAGCGGUGAAAUGCGUAGAUAUCGGAAGGAACAUCAGUGGCGAAAGCGGCUUCCUGGACCAGUACCGACGUUCAGGCACGAAAGCGUGGGGAGCAAACAGG
rnacentral:rRNA from 1 species